rnacentral:misc_RNA from 1 species
CGAAAGCUCCCUAAUAUAUACGGCGGCGCCCCGCGCAUGCCACAACCGCCUCUCUCGUCCUCCCCUCCCCCGUGCGAAUGCGUCUCCUCCCUCGGCCGGCCGCUCGUCCGCUCGCUCUCCCCCGCACGAAUCUCCAGGUGAUGGCGGCGCGCCGCUGCCACUGACGUCGCCAGCGGUGGCGGCGGCGAGCGCGCGAUCGCGGGCGAUGGCCGCCGAGGCCAGCAUGGAGCGCGCGCGCGACGGCCGGCGCCACGAGCACCAGCAGAAGCAGCAGCGGCGCAGCCACCGGCGGUCGGCUUCGGCGUCCGUGACCUCGUCCACGAGGCAGUGGGCAUCAGGGUCGGCGUCUGCGUCGGCGUCAGCGUCUCCGUCCCAGGCGGCGGCGGCGGCGGCGCAGGAGUCGGAGCGGCGGCUGCGGCGGUCCCCGCCCGUGGAGGCGCGGCGGGAGCGCGAGCGGCGUCGGGCGCGCGAGCAGCCGCGGUGCGGGGAGGUGGCGGGCGGGACGGCGGCGGAGUGCGCCGCGGUGUGCUGCUGCUUCCCCUGCGCGGUGGUGGAGCUGGUGGUGCUGGCGGCCGUGCGCGUGCCCGCCGCGCUGUGCCGCCGCGCGCUGCGCGCCCGCGCGCGCCGCAGGCGCGCGGCCAAGAAGAAGAAGGAGGAGGCGGAGCUCCUCGGCGCCUCGGGCGCUGCCGCGUCCGCCUCCCCGACCGCGGCGGCGGCCCGGGACCGCAACGGCGACGCCCUCGACUUCUGCCACUGGCCCGCGCGGGCGGAGGCCGGGCGCGACGAGCUCGCCGAGGCGGAGGCGAAGGUCUGGGCCAGCUUCCAGGGCGCCGGCUUCUGGCGCAGCCCGUCGCAGCGCGAGGAGAGGAGGUGCUAGCUCCUGAUCGACCGCCGCCGCCACAUCUCUCCGUGCCGGUUUCUUGGACCCGAUCCCGAUCCGUCGCAUGCCGCAUACAAUCCUCAUAGGGAAAAGAUGAACGAACUCCAGCGAUUGGUUGAUCGAUCGGCUGCAGAUUGCUGCGACGGCGACGACCGGUUUCAUUGAUUGCUCGCGUUUUUUCCUUUUUCCGAAAUAUUUUCUUGCAUUGGGUGGGAGGAGGGAAGGAACUGUAUCUUCUUUCAUUGUUGUUCUUGAUCGUUCGUGCGUCUUUCAGAUACUGUUGUUCUGACGUGCAUGUGGUGGACACGGUCGGCCAACCUUGUCUCCUACUAUUCAUCAUGCACUAGGGCUGGCUGUGACGAUGUUCUAGCUAAGUAGUAGGAGCAGCUAUACCCCUACGUCCCAGCUGGUUUAUGUCAUGGAGAGACAUGGACGAUUGACCUGGCCUUGAGAAUUCUAAUGACAAGUAGACGCAUAGGAACUAAAAAACGUGUUCUGAUUUCAUGCUUUAUUUAGGGUUACAUGCAGAGAUCGAUUAUUUAUUGGUCAAAUGAAAAGAAGUCAUUUAUU